GCCCCUCUGGCCCAACUGGAAGAGGCGUCCCGUUCAGGGCGGGAAGGUUCCUGGUUCGAAUCCAGGGAGGGGUAC
rnacentral:tRNA from 1 species